UACGUAGGGUCCGAGCGUUGUCCGGAAUUACUGGGCGUAAAGGGCUCGUAGGCGGCCAACUAAGUCAUACGUGAAAUCCCUCGGCUUAACCGGGGAACUGCGUCUGAUACUGGAUGGCUUGAGUUCGGGAGAGGGAUGCGGAAUUCCAGGUGUAGCGGUGAAAUGCGUAGAUAUCUGGAGGAACACCGGUGGCGAAGGCGGCAUCCUGGACCGAUACUGACGCUGAGGAGCGAAAGCCAGGGGAGCAAACGGG
rnacentral:rRNA from 1 species